rnacentral:rRNA from 1 species
GACGAACGCUGGCGGCGUGCCUAACACAUGCAAGCCUGGGAGAAGAGAGUAGCAAUACUUUUUGUAAACCGGCGCACGGGUGAGUAAUAUAUAGGUAACCUGCCCUUUGGUUUGGGAUAACUCGUCGAAAGGCGAGCUAAUACUGAAUGAUGCAGCGGCUCCACAUGGAGAUGUUGUUAAGGCCUUCGGGCGCCAAGGGAUGGGCCCGUAUCCCAUUAGAUAGUUGGUGAGGUAACGGCUCACCAAGUCAAUGAUGGGUAGCUGAUCUGAGAGGAUGAUCAGCCACACUGGAACUGAGACACUGUCCAGACUCCUACGGGAGGCAGCAGUGAGGAAUAUUGCGCAAUGGAUGAAAGUCUGACGCAGCGACGCCGCGUGGAGGAUGAAGGCCCUUUGGGUCGUAAACUCCUGUAGAGUGGGAAGAAUAUCCCUUUUGAAGGGUUUGACGGUACCACUAAAGUAAGGAUCGGCUAACUACGUGCCAGCAGCCGCGGUAAUACGUAGGAUCCGAGCGUUGUCCGGAAUUACUGGGUGUAAAGGGAGCGCAUGCUGGUCUAUAAGUCGACGGUGAAAUCUUCCAGCUCAACUGGAAAACUGCCGCCGAUACUGUASAUCUUGAAUAUGUCAGAGGGAAACGGAAUUCAUGGUGUAGCGGUGAAAUGCGUANAUAUCAUGAAGAACACC